GAUGAACGCUGGCGGCGUGCCUAAUACAUGCAAGUCGAGCGAACGGACGAGAAGCUUGCUUCUCUGAUGUUAGCGGCGGACGGGUGAGUAACACGUGGAUAACCUACCUAUAAGACUGGGAUAACUUCGGGAAACCGGAGCUAAUACCGGAUAAUAUUUUGAACCGCAUGGUUCAAAAGUGAAAGACGGUCUUGCUGUCACUUAUAGAUGGAUCCGCGCUGCAUUAGCUAGUUGGUAAGGUAACGGCUUACCAAGGCAACGAUGCAUAGCCGACCUGGGAGGGGGAUCGGCCACACUGGAACUGAGACACGGUCCAGACUCCUACGGGAGGCAGCAGUAGGGAAUCUUCCGCAAUGGGCGAAAGCCUGACGGAGCAACGCCGCGUGAGUGAUGAAGGUCUUCGGAUCGUAAAACUCUGUUAUUAGGGAAGAACAUAUGUGUAAGUAACUGUGCACAUCUUGACGGUACCUAAUCAGAAAGCCACGGCUAACUACGUG
rnacentral:rRNA from 1 species